rnacentral:tRNA from 1 species
UUACCUAAAACCAAAAUAGAGGUAUAUUACUGUUAAUGAUAAAAUUGAGAUUACUCUCUAGGUAAA